rnacentral:rRNA from 1 species
AGUGAACGCUGGCGGUAGGCCUAACACAUGCAAGUCGAACGGCAGCACAGUAAGAGCUUGCUCUUCCGGGUGGCGAGUGGCGUACGUGUGAGGAAUACAUCGGAAUCUACUUUUUCGUGGGGGAUAACGUAGGGAAACUUACGCUAAUACCGCAUACGACCUACGGGUGAAAGCAGGGGAUCUUCGGACCUUGCGCGAUUGACUGAGCCGAUGUCGGAUUAGCUAGUUGGCGGGGUAAAGGCUCACCAAGGCGACGAUCCGUAGCUGGUCUGAGAGGAUGAUCAGCCACACUGGAACUGAGACACGGUCCAGACGCCUACGGGAGGCAGCAGUGGGGAAUAUUGGACAAUGGGCGCAAGCCUGAUCCAGCCAGACCGCGUGGGUGAAGAAGGCCUUCGGGUUGUAAAGCCCUUUUGUUGGGAAAGAAAAGCAGCAGGUUAAUACCCCGCUGUUCUGACGGUACCCAAAGAAUAAGCACCGGCUAACUUCGUG